UACGUAGGGUGCAAGCGUUGUUCGGAAUUACUGGGCGUAAAGGGCGCGUAGGCGGUCUUGCAAGUCCUGUGUGAAAUCCCUCGGCUCAACUGAGGAACUGCACAGGAAACUGCUUGGCUUGAGUUCGGGAGAGGGAAGCGGAAUUCCGGGUGUAGCGGUGAAAUGCGUAGAUAUCCGGAGGAACACCGGUGGCGAAGGCGGCUUCCUGGACCGACACUGACGCUGAGGCGCGAAAGCUAGGGGAGCGAACAGG
rnacentral:rRNA from 1 species